GCGCGUAUAGCUCAACUGGACAGAGCUACCGAUUUCUACUCGGUAGGUUGAGGGUUCAAAUCCUUCUACGCGCA
rnacentral:tRNA from 1 species